CCAGUCACCAGCGUACUUGGGCUACACACUUGUCUACAUGGGCAGAACAAGGGCAGCGAAACCGCGAGGUUAAGCCAAUCCCACAAAUCUGUUCUCAGUUCGGAUCGCAGUCUGCAACUCGACUGCGUGAAGCUGGAAUCGCUAGUAAUCGCGGAUCAGCAUGCCGCGGUGAAUACGUUCCCGGGCCUUGUACACACCGCCCGUCACACCACGAGAGUUUGUAACACCCGAAGUCGGUGAGGUAACCUUUUUGGAGCCAGCCGCCGAAGGUGGGACAGAUGAUUGGGGUGAAGUCGUAACAAGGUAGCCGUAUCGGAAGGUGCGGUUGGAAUCACCUCAUU
rnacentral:rRNA from 1 species